rnacentral:lncRNA from 1 species
AAAAGCAACGUACAUAUUAGGCUCCUUUUGUUGUGAAAGGUUGAGAAGGAUAGGAUCAAAGUUGUUCAGUCUUUGUUAUACCAAUCACAUUAAAGAGAAAAAACAAGAAAGGUCUACGUCCACGUACCAUCCAGUCGAUGAGUGAAGAAAUAUUAAAAAAAAAAGUCAUUUUUUUCACUUAUAUUAUGAUAUGUGAUGUACUGCUUGAAAAAAUCUCUACUUAAUGAGCGCUAGUAGCACAAUUUGAAAAAUAAAACCUCAUUCUACUUAUAUAACAACAUAUGAUGUACGUUCCGAACACAAUUAAAAA